CCUACGUGCGGCAGCAGUGAGGAAUAUUGGUCAAUGGGCGAGAGCCUGAACCAGCCAAGUCGCGUGAAGGAUGACGGCCCUACGGGUUGUAAACUUCUUUUGUCAGGGAGCAAUUGAGUCCACGUGUGGUCUUAGCGAGAGUACCUGAAGAAAAAGCAUCGGCUAACUCCGUGCCAGCAGCCGCGGUAAUACGGGGGAUGCGAGCGUUAUCCGAAUUUAUUGGGUUUAAAGGGGGCGUAGGGGGAAUAUGACGUCAGCGGUAAAAAUUCGGGGCUCAACCCCGUAGUGACGUUGAAACUGAUGUUCUUGAGUGGGCGAGAGGUAUGCGGAAUUCGUGGUGUAGCGGUGAAAUGCAUAGAUAUCACGCAGAACUCCGAUUGCGAAGGCAGCAUACCGGCGCCCAACUGACGCUGAAGCACGAAAGCGUGGGUAUCGAACAGGAUUAGAUACCCGUGUAGUC
rnacentral:rRNA from 1 species